rnacentral:tRNA from 1 species
UCCCUGGUGGUUCAGUGGCAAAGACUCUGCACUCCCAAUGCAGAGGGUCCAGGUUUGAUCCCUGAUCAGGGAA